CAGGCAGAGCAAAACAAAAGAUAUCCAUUACUUGAACAGGAAUACUUUUAAAACAUUAUAAGGUGUGAAUUUUAUAAGUUAACAAAAGAAUGUCUCAAUAGUAUAGCUUGAAAAAAGAAAAAGAGCCCAACAGUUAAAGCAUUAUAAUAGAUUUUUUGGUCAGUUGACAUUUGAUUAACAUCUUCAUUGUGUGCUAGUCUCCUGUUGUAUGGAUAACACCUGUUAGCUUGAAAAAAAAAUUUGCCUGUGGUUUAUUUAAUAUGCUUUACUUGUCCAAAAUUAAAAGCUUUUUUAAAAAGCAAGUAUGUAUUUGUCUUUAAAGUUGUGUCUAGUGGGAGGAAUUUAUCACUUUCCAAAAAUAAGGAUUAUGCAUAAUUAUUUUCCUCACCGUAUUGCUCUUUUUCCAUCUUUGAUUUCAUCUUUGAGAGGAAGAUGUCAGGGAACCAACUAAGUUGUUUUCAGUCUCGUCAGCCUUUGAAACUCGUGUCUGUUGCCUUUGCCAUCUACAGAUAAUCUUCCUUCGUGGUUCUUAUGCUGAAAGUGUUAGGGCUGUGCAGAGUGAGUUUCCUUAUCAUGUCUUCUGUUCAUCUCAGAAUUUCUCAGUUUUGAGCUUUCUUCAACUCUAGUAGGAUAAGGAAUUAUCUGCUCUCCACUUUAAAGUUAGCACUAUUUCCUUGUGUCAUUGAUUGCAUUGUUUUUAAACUGGUUCCUGACCUUUCAUAGUUAUAGCAGCUUGUGUCUCCCUCACGCUUGAUCCUUUCUUUUGCUUCUUAAGCCUACUUAGA
rnacentral:lncRNA from 1 species